UACGGAGGGUGCAAGCGUUAUCCGGAUUCACUGGGUUUAAAGGGUGCGUAGGCGGGCAGUUAAGUCAGUGGUGAAAUCUCCGGGCUCAACCCGGAAACUGCCGUUGAUACUAUCUGUCUUGAAUGUUGUGGAGGUGAGCGGAAUAUGUCAUGUAGCGGUGAAAUGCUUAGAUAUGACAUAGAACACCGAUUGCGAAGGCAGCUCACUACACCGAAAUUGACGCUGAGGCACGAAAGCGUGGGGAUCAAACAGGA
rnacentral:rRNA from 1 species